AACCCAAAAUUACCUGCAUGUUGUUUACCAAACACUUUUCUUUACUCAAACUGCAUUCGUGAAACCACACAAAAAACCUACGGAAACCCAAAAUCACAAUAUUCAUUCCAAAAAUUCCAAUUCUUGUAACUCAUACUUAAAGAUCACAAUUACAAAUCAGUAUCCCCUCUUUCAUCAGUAAUUCCGCUCAAUUACCUCGGUUUAUGUUGUCCAAAUCAAAACCCUAAAAGAUGUCUACUUGUUCUAGUAGUAGCAGCAGUUGCUUUUUGGAUGAUGAUGAGUUACUACAGUUUGAGGCAAGAUGUAAAGAGUUAAGGAUAGAAAAAGACAUGCUGAAACAAUCAAGCUCCGAACUCAUUCGGAGUUUAAAAUCCCACGCUCGAACAUUAUCCGAAACGCGAUCUAAUGACAAGAAGCGUAUCCAAGAUUUGGAAAAAGAAUUGAGUAACUGUUCUCAAGAAAUAGAUUACUUGCAGGAUCAGUUGACCACACGGGACACAGAGAUAAUUCAUUUGACCGAUUAUAUCCAAAAUCUAGAGUUGGAGGUCAAAGCAAAAGACGAUUUGGACAGAAUUGUGAGAAACUUAGAGCAUGAACUGAAGGCAUGUAAGUCGGAGAAUUCGGCUUUAAUGAAGAAACUAGAGGACAAAGAACAUGAGUUGCGUAAUUCAACGUUAUAUAUAGAAAAAUUAGAGGAGUCGAUAUCUGAUAUCGCGCUAGAUUUCCAAUGUGAUAUAGAAAGCAUGAAACUUGAUUUGAUGGCCAUGGAGCAUGGCUUUCUCGAAGCUAAAAAACUUCAAGAUGAAGCCGUUCAAGAACAUCGUCGGAUGCAAGAACUUACUAAGAACUACAAGAUUGCAAUACAAAAUGUUACACAAUUAGUUGAGGAAAAUAAAGAAUUGAGGGAGAAGCUUAAUGCCUUUGAAACCGAUGCGGAUUCGGAAACAAAAAUGAAGAAAUCAAGUGAAUAUGAAGCUCAAAUACAUGAAUAUGAACUUCUUGUGAACCAGCUGAAGGAACAACUAAAAGACGAAAAGUUUAAGGCAAAUGAAGAAGCCGAAGAGUUAGCUCAGGAAAUGGCGGAGUUAAGAUAUCAGUUAACGGGAUUGCUUGAAGAAGAAUACAAAAAACGUGUGUGUAUAGAAGAAAGAGCUUUACAAAGAAUAACCGAGUUGGAAACUCAGAUUGAAAAAGAAAGAAGGAAAACUCUCGCUGAUGUUCGAGGUCUUCCAAAUGCUUAGGAGAUUCUUCCAGGAUCACAAGUCGUGGGUUCAACGUUAAUUUACAGUUCAGGUUAAGGUGACAGGAUGAAACAAGAAUCUCAGAAGGGGGAUGCCAAAAACGUACCAGAAAAAGUAAAGAAAUAGUUGCUGGACCAAAAGUUGGCGGGCCCGAAAAGAAGAGGGAUGCCAAGAAGGAUUGACGAAUACGUUGGUUGACGAUGACUUCGAGAAUAGUUAUGGCAAGAAACUGUAUUUAGUAUACUUUGUGUAUUCAUAAUAAUUAUCGGGUGCCGAAGCAGGUAACGAAAACAGUACUCUAAGAAAAAGAGUUACUUUGUUAUAACAGAUUUUUUUGUGUGUAUACUGUUAAUGUUAUAUGAGAAAAAUGCCCGGAUAGUCCCUGUGGUUUGCCUAUUUUU